UUCUAAUGGCUGGUGUUGAGGUGCUGAUGACCUAGAUUUGGAUCCUUUUGAAGAAAGUUUCAAAUCCAUGGAUCUAGCUACGGAUGCAGUCCAAAUUGAUGAGGACCAAGCAAACAACUUACUCAACAGUGUGCUGGGAUCCUAAAGGCAAUUUCCAUCCUACUUGUGUGGCUGAAUGACAUCUUCAACCAAUUUUGGUACAUUUGCCAGAAGGCACAACAUCAUGAUAUGUUUAAUGUAAGUAUUGUGACAUCUUUUGGACAACAAGACAACAAUGCACAUUGACAUAAUUACCUUUCUUUUCAUAAUAGUACCAGCUCUCGUGUUUCUGUUGGUGAGCGCUUCUGUCACAUGUAAAGUUUUCAAAUAAAACUUAUUUUUUCUGUUAGGCCAUGUGGGUGGGUGUGCUUCACCAUGUCACAGGGAAGCAUGAAUGGACCCGUGGCAAAUGUGACCAUGGACCACUUGAUGCAACGGCCAGUGAUUAAAGAGCUCAUGGUACCAUGAUCUCCACCACACGAGGCUCUUCAACGAAUCAUGUUCAACAGACGCUGGUUGAAGGAUGUCACCAAUCUGACCUUUAGGUAUAUUAAUAACAUUUUCAUAAGCAAAAAAGCUAAAGUGUCAAUAUCAAAGCUGACAAUUUACAUAUAGAAAUGACAAUUGUGGGUGAAAAGGCAAUCAAAAGUGUGAUUCCUAAUAAUCUAUAAAGUUGUAGCUUUUGUUUUUUUUACAGGUCAACUUCAGAACUGGAGAGUUUCCAGAAUUGCAUUCUCAUGUAAUCUAUGUAUGAUCUAAUGCUGCUGUUCUCUCUCCAUAAAGGCCCCAGCUACGUGAAGCAUCAAAAGAC